GAUCCCGUCGCUCAACUGGAUAGCACAACUUCCUUCUAAGCAGUAGGUUGCGCGUUCGAGUCGCGCCGGGAUCA
rnacentral:tRNA from 1 species